ACUCCUACGGGAGGCAGCAGUGGGGAAUUUUGGACAAUGGGCGAAAGCCUGAUCCAGCAAUGCCGCGUGAGUGAAGAAGGCCUUCGGGUUGUAAAGCUCUUUUGUCAGGGAAGAAACGGUGAAAGCUAAUAUCUUUUGCUAAUGACGGUACCUGAAGAAUAAGCACCGGCUAACUACGUGCCAGCAGCCGCGGUAAUACGUAGGGUGCAAGCGUUAAUCGGAAUUACUGGGCGUAAAGCGUGCGCAGGCGGUUUUGUAAGUCUGAUGUGAAAUCCCCGGGCUCAACCUGGGAAUUGCAUUGGAGACUGCAAGGCUAGAAUCUGGCAGAGGGGGGUAGAAUUCCACGUGUAGCAGUGAAAUGCGUAGAUAUGUGGAGGAACACCGAUGGCGAAGGCAGCCCCCUGGGUCAAGAUUGACGCUCAUGCACGAAAGCGUGGGGAGCAAACAGGAUUAGAUACCCGUGUAGUCCCAUGAU
rnacentral:rRNA from 1 species